rnacentral:piRNA from 1 species
UGAUACGUAUAUAUGUGAGGUGGGU